AGAGGUGGCAAGCGUUGUUCGGAAUUACUGGGCGUAAAGGGCGCGUAGGUGGCCUUCUUAGUCAGACGUGAAAUCCCGGGCUUAACUCGGGAACUGCGUCUGAUACUGGAAGGCCGGAGUUCGGGAGAGGAAUGUGGAAUUCCAGGUGUAGCGGUGAAAUGCGUAGAUAUCUGGAGGAACACCGGUGGCGAAGGCGGCAUUCUGGACCGAAACUGACGCUGAGGCGCGAAAGCCAGGGGAGCAAACGGGAUUAGAUACCCCGGUAGUCCUGGCCCUAAACGAUGAGUGCUUGGUGUGGCGGGUAUCGAUCCCUGCCGUGCCGAAGCUAACGCAUUAAGCACUCCGCCUGGGGAGUACGGUCGCAAGGCUG
rnacentral:rRNA from 1 species